rnacentral:misc_RNA from 1 species
AAGUCGUAACAAGGUUUCCGUAGGUGAACCUGCGGAAGGAUCAUUACUGAGUUAGGGUCUCAUCUCGAGCCCGAACCUCCAACCCUUUGUAUGAAACACUUUGUUGCUUUGGCAGGCCCGUCUGAAAAUCCUUUCACCGGGAUCGACGACCGCCGGGGGCGUUUAGUCACCUCUGGCCAGUGCUUGCCGAUAGCCUAUUCAAAAUUCUUUAUUAAAUCAUGUCUGAAAAAUUAUAACUAAAUAUAAUUAAAA